UACGUAGGUGGCAAGCGUUGUCCUGAUUUAUUGGGUUUAAAGGGUGCGUAGGUGGUCCCAUAAGUCAGUGCUGAAAUAUCCCGGCUUAACCGGGAGGGUGGCAUUGAUACUGCGGGACUUGAGUAAAGUUGAGGUAGGCGGAAUUGACGGUGUAGCGGUGAAAUGCUUAGAUAUCGGAAGGAACACCGGUGGCGAAAGCGGCGCGCUGGAUCUCUUCUGACGCUGAGGCGCGAAAGCCAGGGGAGCAAACGGG
rnacentral:rRNA from 1 species